rnacentral:rRNA from 1 species
AUUGAACGCUGGCGGCAGGCCUAACACAUGCAAGUCGAACGAGUGGCGGACGGGGGAGUAAUGUCUGGGCAACUGCCUGAUGGAGGGGGAUAACUACUGGAAACGGUAGCUAAUACCGCAUACCAUCGGAGGUGCCAAGAUGGGAGUAGCUAGGAGGUGGGGUAACGGCUCACCUAGGCGACGAUCCCUAGCUGGUCUGAGAGGAUGACCAGCCACACUGGAACUGAGACACGGUCCAGACUCCUACGGGAGGCAGCAGUGGGGAAUAUUGCACAAUGGGCGCAAGCCUGAUGCAGCCAUGCCGCGUGUAUGAAGAAGGCCUUCGGGUUGUAAAGUACUUUCAGCGGGGAGGCGUUACGCGCAGAAGAAGCACCGGCUAACUCCGUGCCAGCAGCCGCGGUAAUAC